GUGUGGUUUAUUUCAAUUUUCGAAGGGUUUUGUUUUUUCAGCUUCUGCUUUUCGUCGACCGACAAUUUGUUGACGGCUGCAAAGAAGAGUACGAAUUAAGCAAUGGGUGACAAAAAGAAGAAGACUUUCAUGUUCAUCCGCCUUGUUUCUGCUGCUGGAACUGGAUUCUUCUAUGUCAAGAGGAAGAGUGCCAAGAAAGCUUUGGAGAAGCUCGAGUUUCGCAAAUAUGACCCUCGAGUAAAUCGCCAUGUUCUUUUUACAGAGGCAAAAAUGAAAUGAGAGGGAAAGGCAAUGCAAGAGGUUUAUCUUUUCUUAUCUACUUUUCUGGGUGAGUAUCUUGUGACUGUUUCCAUGGAUAAUUUCAUAGUUUAGUGGAGCUGAAUAAUUACUCUUGUAUUAUUGGUUCAAUUUGUGUUCCUUGUUCCUCCUCCUAGCCACCAGAGAUUUCUUGACAGACAUAGGACUCCUUGGUCAGGCUUUUUUGUAGGAUGCUCUAGAGCGUGAACAUUAACUGAAUUUGUGAUAUCGUGAUGAUGUUUGUGAUC